CCAGGUGGGGCUCGCUAGUUCUGGGAGAAGGUGAAUGCUUCCUCAGCUGGAGGAGGCUCCGGACAGGUGAGGGUCACAAGCCUCAUCAAGCCCAGAUGCUGCAAUCAGCAUGCAAAGGGAAGCCGAGCUGAGAGGCUGGGUCUCUGCAAGUCUCCAGGAUCUCUGCAAGACUUCAGUUUGGACUUCAGACACAUGACAUCCUGACUUGCUGCCAGCUGGAGACUGAAUGUUGCAGCUGAAGAAGGCACCUGUAACCUCUUUUGAGUAUGUGCUGCAAAUAUUGUUACACAUCACUCCAACCUCUGAAAAUGAGAGACACCAGGCGUUCCAGUGCUUAUCUGAGACUUGGAAGGAAGGUACCUCGGUUUUCGAACGUAAUCCGUUCCGGAAGACCUUUCGAGUUCCGAAAUUUUCGAAAACCAAAAACUCAAAAUGGAAAUCCCAAUACGGAAUCUGCAUUUCCGGUUUGACUUCUGAGGUGUGUUCGAAAACCGAAGCAUUUACUUCCUGGUUAAUGGCGUUCAAGUUCCGAAACGUUCGUCAACGGAGAUGUUUGAAAACCGAGGUACCACUGUAGCUGAUUUUCGGGUGUUUCAUUCUGAUGUUGACGAGAGUGCCUAUCUAGUUAGCGGUGUUUUAUAAUGUGGAUUAUCGCCCCCUUAGCAUUUUUGUAUUUGAUCUUUGUUUAUGUUACGUUGUGAACUACUUCGAGCGAUCCCUGCACCCUGCUUAAAACAUAAGCAGAAUAGCUUAAAUAAAUUAAAUAAUAUAUUUGGCUGGGGAAUAAUCCAGAUUUUAGAAACAUAACCAGCUUUGUACACUUCAUUUGUAGUGCAGCAUCUUUCAUCCAGUGUUCUCCCUCAGAAUUUCAGAGAAGCAAACUUGUUCUGUUGUUGGUUUUUUAUUAAAAAAGCUUUAAUUUUACAUCUGCAUUUGAGCAUUCAAACCACCACAAUCCUGGUUUGUUUUCAUAUUACUCACAGAAAACUAAAAUAGUAACAGAGGUGGGUAGGCUGUACUCCUCAUCUCUCCACCAACAUGUACAGAUUUAAGUUCUUCUUCCAGAGGUGGAAUGCUAACAAACAGUGACUUUUGAGAUAGAAUUCCUGCAGUCAUGCUCACUCGCCACAGUGCAAAGGGCAACAAACAAAACCCAACAGGUCAUAUUGGGAUGAGGUGGGGAGGUGAGGAAUGGGCUCUGACAAGGAGGCAUGUGAUUAGCCUUCACAGCAACGUCCUCUACUGAUUUGUCAGCAAACGGUCAAAUGCAUGAAGCUCAAAAACAUAAACGGGGGGGGGGGGGAGACUUAAGGAACAGUACCGGCUGCAAGAUAAAUAAGCGAGAAGGAAGGAUUGCUUCAGAACAGGGAUUAUGGCAGCACCUGGCGGCCCAUAGCUGUGCCUGCCUCCUUUAUUUUUAGGCUUCCUAUGCCAGGAAGCUAAAUCUACCCACUCUUUUUUUAAAAAAAAAAAUCCCCACAAUGCACCUCCUCUAAGGCGUUUUGUUUUGUAGGACCCACCUCUCCUGCUCAAUCUAUACUGCUCAAUCUAUACUAAUAUAACUUUGGUUGGGAUGGUUUUGCUUUUUAUAACUGCAUGUUGCACUGUUGCAACCUGUCCUGAAACCUUAUGGUUGAAGGGCAAGUAAGGAAUAGGAACGUUGCUGUGUGUCAUUUGUGGGAAAUUAAAAUGGCGGCUCAACACAGCUUACCUUUGCUGCCCAGAGCAGUGCCACUGGGGCCAGGUAAGCCCACGAGGGCCCACUUACCAAGGAGAAGGGCCCCUGCCCACAAGGACAAUUUGCCCAGGACUCUCCAAUGCUGGAGCGGGCCCAGUUCCUCCUAGUCCUCAGCCUGCUCUCCUCUUUCCAACACUACUUUUCUCUGAAUGUGCUGCUCCAAAACACCAGAAGCUCCAGAAGAAGGCCAGGUGUGCUGUGGAUUUACCUUCACCAUGCUGCUAUGACCCUAGGGUCACGAGCAGAUGAUUAUUCAUAACCAGUACCACACAUAGCUACCAAGUUAUCCCUUUUUUAAAGGGAUUUUCCCUCAUGCUGAAUAGGCUUCCUCGCGAGAAAAGGGAAAACUUGGCAGCUCUGGUACCACAUUCUGGGACUGGUGUGGAAGCAAUCUCAUGUUACCUUAGUACAGCUGCUCACCUUUGCUUGCUGCCUGAGCUUUUAACUAGUGUUGCCAGGAUCUGAAGCUAACAAACCAAGCAGGUAACAAUCAAGAAGGCAGAAAGCUGCAUAUUUCCACCAAUAGGGAUGAAAUCUAGAAGCAGGUGGAUUUUGAUUUGUUUGGAAAACUGGCUUGACAUCGCAUGAAAUGGAACAUUUUUUUCCUGGAUUUGGUCAGGCAAAAGUGACGAUGGAACUAACCUGAAAACAUUUUAAAACACCCAUUUUAAUCAGAAGGUGCGCCUUGGCGAUUGCUGCUACAGUUGCCAGGCAUAAUUAUAUAUGCUAAAGUUCAUGCCACAGAAUAAGACUCUGUUCAUGCCACAGAAUAAAAAUGAAUUCCAUGUCUAUACGUUUUCUCCCAUUAACAGACUGAAGGCUUAUAAUGCAGACCAACAAGCAAAAAUGGCAGAAAUGGGCUGCUGUGAAACAAGUGACUAAAAAGCACAACAAAAGCUUUGGAAAGCACAAAAGAGCAAAUGUAAUGGAAGGUCACAGAGGAAGCGUCUAUAGCAAGAUCAGAAAGCCUGUCUUUAUGGCAGUGCAUCCUAACACUCUUCUCUGUUUGUACUCUCUCCAAACCACACCAUAAGAUCCAGGGUCAUUUCACAAAAGUAGCUGGCUAGGAACACCUCAGGCUUCUGGGAUCUUUUUUUUUAACCACUAAUUCGAGGCACAUGUAGAAUAAUGGGGGGGGGGGAGUGUACAGCAGAGUCAAUUACGUACUGCACUGCAUGACUCAUCCACUGUAUUUACAAAUACAAGCCUACACCCAAGUCAGUGUUUCUAACACAAAACUCAAAGUAGCUGGUACAGCUCCCAAAGGCAACCAAUUAAUACUCGUAUUUUACAGGCGAGGAGCACUGUGGGUAAGGAAUUAGUAAAUUAGCAAUUUGGAAGAGAUUUAAUUUCCAAAAUGGCUUGCCAUUGUUAAACUUACGGGAAUGAAAACAAACACCUUCACCGAUCUCCUGGAAGGUUACUCUGCAAAUUUAUACCAGAAGACCCUGGUGUAGGGUACUGGGUGAUAUUGGGGGGGGGCAUAUGGGCAUGAUUGUGUAGCUAUAUAAUCCUUUUGUUAGGGAAUAGAACAGGAAGGAUGCUAGCAAACUCCUGUUUGUUGAUAAAAUUUUGCAGUCAAACUCAGCUACUCCCCUCCUGAUCAUAACCGUGCUAGGUACUGUAGUUGCUAUUUUCCUAUGUGACAAAACAUUCCUUCUGUGUAGGGGUGAUUUGCCCCUCCCCCCUUUUUAAGCACUUGAUUUAAAAACAUGUGCCGUAGUUUAAUUUUAAAUAGUUCCUUUGACUUUAUAAGCUGUUUACGUUUGUGAGGUUUGCUUUCUCCCUUCACCUCCCUGCUCUUUUCUGUCAACUGGAAGCAACAUCCCUCAACCAUCAUGUGAUCAAGUGAGUGAGAUCACACUGCUACAGGGCCAAACUAGGGGGCAAGGGCAGUGGGCCCACCUUAUCAAAACUGGGCCCAUGGAGAUGGGGAAAAUUUAAAGGAAGCGAGGUGCCGAUAACCUACCUGACAAGAGACACGCGUUACAUGAUGGGUAGGCUUGCCUCUAUGUCAAAGGAAUAAUAACCUCAGGCUCAAUGUGGCCCACUGGGCUUCUCUGUCCUGCAUCCUUGGGACUCUCCACAGUGUUUUGAGGGCUGACAGGAUGGUUCUGGGACUCUGCAGGUCAGGAAAAGGCUGGGGGCUUGAAAUGCCGUUGACUUUUCAUUCACAGAAAGUAACACAGUGCGGUCUCCCUGGCUGGACUCCUUCAGCUUGAGACGCUGCUGCAAACCGAGCUCUGCUCUAGCUCAGGCAUCCCCAAACUGCGACCCUCCAGAUGUUUUGGCCUACAACCCCAUGAUCCCUAGCUAAGAGGACCAGUGGUCAGGGAUGAUGGGAAUUGUAGUCCAAAGCAUCCAACCACCAGGACCCGGGGUCUAAGUCCUCGUCUUCCCUGUCCUCCUCCUGGACGGGAGCCCACCCCCCCAUCCAGCCAGUCCCUGACACACAGGCUACAUGUCCUUGCUAGACUACCAUCACACACACACACUUGUCUGGAUGGAUGGAGAGAAGUGAGUAUGGCUAGACUGGUGGUUACUGUACAAAGAAAGGAAUCACUUCCAUUUUCCCACCACCAAUGACAUGUGGCUCCUGUGAGAGUUGCCCGCUAGGUAAUAUGGCCCCUAGACUUAUUUUCUACCUUUCUGGUGACAUUGUCAUCCAGGAGUUGAAGGGGCAGAAUACAUGACAGAAAUGCCAAUUAACGUUACACUCUUGUGAGUUAGAAGUGGGUUCUGAUCUAAGCUGGGUUUCACCAGAAACAAAUCUACCCAUUUUCUUGUUUUAAGGAAAGGAUAAAGACGGAGUAGAUUAAAUAGAGGGGAGGGGAGAGAAGAGGCAGGAAGACAGGACGGGUGUACAGAAAAACAGAGUGCUGUCAUCUUUUAUAGUUGCAUCAGAUACCCGUUUAAGAUCACGUCACCUGUGGAAAUGCCCAAGUAGCUCAGUUCAUCGCACGCGUACUCAGAAGCGAAUCCCAUUAUGUUCAAUAGGGCUUCCUCCCUUAGUUGGACAGCAGCUCAUUUGCCAGUUUUGACUUGGCUUGGCAAAGAUGGGCCAGAGCUGACUAAAACCAGCCAAGGUGAUUUAUCCGAUUAGUUCUGCUACCAUUCCUUUUCUAGUUGAUCACAGGUACCAUACCUGCUCUUCCCCCCUUUAAUCUAGUACAUAACAGUUACAAGUCAAGCAUUAUCGUUUAAUCAUGCAACAUGUCAUAGAUUACAAAACUGACUAGAUAACUGUAUAUAUUAAAUAAAUCUUGGUCAGGGGGG